UUAGGUAUCUUCUAGGCUAAAAAUUCUAGGUUUCUAGGCAAUCAUUGAUUUAACAUACAUUUAUGGAACAUAAAUAUAUGCUGGACAGUAUGGGGCAUGAAUCCCCUUCAGGGAACUUACAGUUAUAGAACAGGGGAGUAAGACAAGCACAUUUUUAUUUAAAAAAUUGUUAGGGCCACGAUUCACUGGGUGCCUGUUAGAUGUCUGUCGUGUGUUAGGCAUUGGACCUGAGUUAACUGUAAUUCUCACAAUAAUCCUGUGGGGCCAUUAUCAUCUUUUCUCAGAUGAACAGCCGAGGCUCAGAGAGGUGAAGUGACCUGCCCGUGACUAUCAGAGCAAAGUGAAACCAGAGAGGUUUAGAGAAGUUCUACUGGAGUGGAGGUGGUGGGAGGUGAUAUGAAGUGUCUGUCAAGGCCACAGGCCAAUAAUCUGCCACCACUAUCCAUAGGCAGAGUCUUGGCAGCCAUGUUUGUUCUGGAUGAGCCCACAUCCUUGAGCAUAGCUGAUUGGACCAGGGAUGGACAUCAGCUCCAAACAGGACAACCCAAAAUCAUCUCUCCUAAGAUUUGUAAUUGGAUUUGAGAAAGAGUUGAAUCAGUCUCUUUUUGUGGCUAAUAUUUGACAUGUGAAAUCACAAGGCAUGGUUCUAGAAGCUGAAGACACUUGGUGAACAAAACAUGGAGUUACCUACCGGUGUGUAGAGAGAGCAUCAACCCAGUCAUUAGCUCCAGGCUACCCCCUGUGCAAGGACCGCAGAAGCCAGGAUGAGGAAGAGGGGCUAAUUCCAAGAGACAUUGCUGAUGUCAAAGCAGCAAGAUGACUUGACCAACUGAUGGAGGGAGGCACAGGGAUGCUGGUAAGCUGGCUCUCUGGGAAGAGAAAAAGCCCUGGUUUAUAGUGUUUGCUGUUUUAUACAGCAUAAAUACUCCCACCAUGGCUGAUUUGAAGUUACUAACAUGAUGUCACUGAAUAUGUAGCUGGGAAGAGACAGUGAGUUUAGAGGGAAAAGCCAAGGAUGCCUCAGGAGUUCUCAGCUUGUGGCUGAGUACAGGGAACUGUGGUUAACUGUUUCAAGGGGGUUCUAAUUUUUCCUUGGGUCAGAUGCAGUUUUCAGAAUCCCCUGAAAGUUGGGAAACUUGCUUAUUGUCACAAAAUUCUCAAAGCAUUUCAAGGUUUUCAUUCUUAUAUCAAAACCCUUAUGCUACAUAAAAAACUCCAACAUCCCAGUGGCAUUUUUUUUUAUAAUUUUAUUUAUUUAUUUAUUUUUCCCCCAAAGCCCCAGUAGAUAGUUGUAUGUCAUAGCUGCACAGCCUUCUAGUUGCUGUAUGUGGGACACGGCCUCAGCAUGGCCA